UGCGCCUCUGUGGGACACUGCAGGGUGCAGGGACAAUUACGAAGAUGGCGGUUGCGCGCUUGGCCGCUGUGGCGGCCUGGGUACCUUGUCGGAGCUGGGGCUGCGCAGCCGUCCCCUUCGGUCCCCACCGUGGCCUCAGCGCGCUGCUUGCACGGAUACCUCAGCGGGCGCCACGGUGGCUCCCAGCUUGUAGGCAAAAGACGUCACUCUCAUUCCUUAAUCGACCAGACCUUCCAAACCUGGCUUAUAAGAAGCUAAAAGGCAAAAGUCCAGGAAUUAUCUUCAUCCCUGGCUAUCUUUCUUAUAUGAAUGGUACAAAAGCAUUGGCGAUUGAGGAGUUUUGCAAAUCUCUAGGUCACGCCUGCAUAAGGUAGGAACAACACAUUACUGAGAAAAUAUUGCUACUGUUAGCAUUACAAUGAAGAAUUACUUCUGUUCUAAUUAGUUGAAGUAAAUGCCAGCAUUUUUAUACAUUAUUUUAACGGUCUGUAAACUUGCAUCUUGUGAUGUAGGGUAAUUUUAAAAGCAACCUUUAAAAGACCUUUUUUAAAGGCCUUUGUGCCACGCUGACAACCCUGGCAGGAAAGGACAUCUUAAGGGAAAUAGUGGUAACUAAGCUCUUUAGAGUCAAUAAUGUAUGUGACAACAAACAGAUAUACUAGUUGGCUUUCAUGCAGUCUCUUAUAUUAUCAUUUUCCACUGGGGACUUAAGGACUUUAUUUGA
rnacentral:sRNA from 1 species